CUUCAGGCGUUCUCCUGUACCCUCGUGAAUGUAGCACAUGGAGUUUGGGAUUCACUUGCAAGUUUUACUUCUAGUUUGCAGCAGAAAUAUGCACGUAGCUUACAACAUCAUGCAAGCUCGUUACUUACUAUUCUUUAAAAUAGUCUGUGGUACAAGAGUCCCUCCCCGUAAGAAGAGGUACUAUGCUGAGGCAGCCACCACACAGCAGGGCCUCAGGGAUGGGCUCCACUUGACCACCCACAGAAGCAGGGUCCAGCCUACCAGUCCUAGUGCCGGGAAAGCAAGUGCAGGCCCGGGUCCUACUGGUGCCGGGCCAGCUGUGUCCUCUCUGCAAACAUAGAGCCAGCGCUGUUGCAUUCCCUCCACAUCGUGCACAGCCUCGAAGAGGAACUAAAAGAGACUCAGUGAUUCAUCAAAUGUGCUUCUUUCCUAAAUGAGCACUAAAAUUAACUCUAGACUUUCUUGCUCCUGCCAAUACUGCUCCCUCCUGCAGGAAAGCAGUUGUGUUGCCACAGCAAAGCUGGUCCAGACAACCAAGCACCUGGAAAUGCAACCUGCUGGUUGCCCUGAAAUAAUCUGUCACCUUCAACAGCACUUCGGGGAAACAACACCUAAUAAACAGCACCUAGUAAAGCAAAGGAACGUACUGAGCACGGUCACAGGGAAAGGCCCACUUACAGCCAUGGUUAUGACAGUGCUUAUAAAAUUAGAAGCACUAAUUUAUUAGUGCAUACAGCGCCCCAAAUGAGCACGUGAUUGGUGCAUUUACUAAAUUUCAUCCACGGGACUAUGGCACAAAAGGCAUUCCUCAUGGCUUGGAGCUUGGUGGGAGGCGCAUCUGUUUCUACUCCCGCCUACUCCGCGGCCGGGCACAAAUCAUGCGGGAGAAAUGUUUAUCCAAGGGGGGCUGAAGAGCCAGGGCUCCAGGAGGCCCCGCGGAUCAGGGAGGGCUCCUUCUUUCAAAGGCUCCUGCUGCCCGGCUCUGGGUAGGAUGGAAAGGAUCAGGGUAAGGGAGAGAAAUACAUUUUGUAUUUAAACAAGGAAAAGAGAAGAGUUGUGAUUCUGUAGACAGGAGACGAGGAGAGCAUGGGAGUGACGGCAGGCUUAGGGACACACUGUAGGGACACUGUCCCUGCGUUGGGCAGUUUGUGUCAUGAGAGGCUAGGAGGAUCUGAGGUGGAGGAUCUGUGCUUUGCUCACUGGGACCCAGAGUUGACACAGACCAUAGGGUACGUAAUAAAGUACAAACUAUUCUUGAGCCACAAUCAUGUAAAAGGACAUCUAGGACAGUCAAUCCAGUAUAUCGGGAGGGAAAUAAGUAUUGAUCUGGUCACCAUUCCGGAGAGUCCCACCGCUAGGGGUUUUCACAUCUUUUCCCUGGAGAUUCUGGACACAGUGAUGCCAGCCAGGGGUUGGACCCAAGGCUCUGGCACACUAGGCAAGUGUUUGGCCAUCUGAGCCAUGACCCUGGCCCAGCACUAAGGUUUCCACCUGCAGCCUUGGCUGGCCAGACUUCUGCUCGACUUUGCAUUGAAACUGUGAGCCCAACACGGUGGCCCCACCCUCCUGUCCUGUGCCCCCCACUCAGGGAAGCUGAGUUUGGACAGCAACAGCGGUCUUUUCUGGCAAAGGCAUUUCCAAGAUCUUUUUCAACCUCGACUCCCCUCCUGUCACUUAUUUUCAAGAAACACAAAACAGCUAUAGACUUUAGAGACCAAACUGACUCCAUUAAUCUUAUUUUUCUUAUUGAUUGUGAUGCUGGGGCUCAAUCAAACCCAGGGCCCUGCGCACGCCAGGCAAAUACUCUACCACCGAGCCACUCUCCCAGUCCUGAGUCUGUUAAUUUUUAUUGUUUCUAUUAAGCCAAGCAUCACAGUUCCAAAGACACCAAGCCAAAGCUGGGGAAGGACGACCCAAACCUUUGAAACCAGUAUAGAAGUAGAGGCGAACGAGAGUUUCCUGUAUCAUUUGGAGGAUACACCUGAAAGCACAAUACUAACUGACUCUGGUCAAUAUAAAUCACCCUUGGUGAUUCCAGGAUGUACCUGGAACUUUCUUCAAAGGGGACAUUUAAUGUGACACAGGAGUGUCAAAUAGGGGAAACGAUUUUAGUCUGAUAUUCCGGGAGAAAAAUGCUUCUGGACAAAUAAUGCUUUCUCUGUGAAAUGUACUUGGGGCACAGACCACUGCUCCCCAAUAACCAGGACAACAGUAAAACGAUAGUGGCAGACAGCAACACAGCCUGAAUCUGUCGUGAGAAACUUCAUGGUUUUCCAUCUUGAUGAACAAUCAGAAAUUUUUUAUGCCACCGAAGAACAGAUGCACGGGCUCCUGUGCCGCGAUGGUCCUGGUGGUCCGCAUCACUGAUCAGAUUAAGCUCACCCUGCCCCUCAUGCUUCCAGGACCCCGAUGCCUCCAAAAGACCAGCGGGGGAAGAGCGGUGUGGCCACGUGGAAAUGGAUUCUGACAGCACCAGAAUUAUUUCCUUAGCGCACUGAUGAAGGGUUCUCACUAGUUCUUUAGUGAGCAGGUCUGGAACCAGAUAUCAAAGCGCACCUGCGUCCUCUAUGGUACGUACUUAGGUACCAUAAACUGUGCAUGGUUUGCAUUCCAGGGCAUGGGAUUAGUCAUUCUCAACAAAUCCUUUCAUUGGCUUCUGUUAAGUCCCAGCUCAGAACUCCUGUGGGCUUUAUCUGAACCAGGCAGAAUCAACGGUGGCAGCACUCCAGCGAUGGGACAGCGGCAGCCCCCAGAGCUCCCUCGGUGCCUCCUGUACACCUGCAGGGCCCUCAGCAACUUUACACACAAACGUCCACGGGUGAACACACUCGGGUGAGUUUGGAGCAGGACAUGGUAGACGUGCGUGGGAUGCUUUCCAACCAGCCUGCCUGCCCUGACACACCGUUCGGCAGACAAGGUUGGAUGGAUCAUUCAAUCUUCCCAUCACAACACUUGAACUUUGAGGAGAAAAAGUUUGAACAAGCAGAAAUGUUCACUUCCUCUGAACUGGAUCCAUGCCACCCUAAAAUUAUGGAAAAAUGAAGGAGUCAUGACAAUCACAGAAGGAGAAGAAAGGAAAAAAAUGAAAGCAACCAAGAACAGAAGGGCAGACCCAACUCCAGACUGGUGAUAAUGUAUUCAUGUCAAAGCUCAAGAUCCGAAAACUGUGUCUUACUGGCCUACUAAUCGUGGCCCUCCGUGCUUCCGCCACACGUGUGACUUAAGAGGGGCCGGUGAGUCUGCAUGCACGAUGGUUCCAUUGAGAGUGCGAGUGGCCAGCUCAGGAACGGAAAGGUCAGGCGUGCAGGCGGGGACCAGUCAUCAGCCCAUCACGUGAGCAGGCCCCGGGCAGUGCGCAGGAUGAGAGCCAUCUGCUAGCUUUGCUUGCAAGACCAGACUGAGAAGGCACCAGCACAAAACCACAAAGGAGAAGACAGAGCUGGAUUUCCGGAGGAAGAAGCAGAGAUUUCUACCCAGAGCUGAGUGCAGGUCUGCUGCUGUUGCAGGGAGGAAGAAAACUUGAUGAUGCCAGUGGCCGCUGGGCGCCCAGGACACAGAAAGGGCUUGGAUGAAUUCCAGGCCGGAGAACCUCUGGGUGCUGGAUGAUGAAGCACCACUGCGCUCUUAGACACAAAGCAAGACUCGGACCAAUGCAUGGCAAUCGCAUGCUCAACAGUUCAUAGGGAAACAGUUCAUGCACUGGGAAUGACCAAUAAUGUACUCUUAAACAUGUAAUAAAACUUAAGGGAAAAGAGGGCCCAGGGCCUGCAGGGGAAAUGAGCCAUUACUCCUUGGCAUGGAGAGGCUGUUGUAUUUCAUGUAUGAUUUGACUCUGCUUCACUACAGCAAUUUCAGCUUUAAAUGGUACAUUUCCUCUUUAUUGGGCUUCCUGAAGGGUGAUUUCACCCCAGGUAUUUUCUUACACAGAGUAGUAUUUCAGCCGCAUCGUGCAGACCCAGAAUUCUUGCAGCAAUCUCAGAAACAUCCAGUGUGUCACUGACGGAGGCGGCGGCGGCAGCCUGCGGUUCUGGAAGCCUGCGAUGCAUACUUGAGUCUGUGAUGGAUGUUUACGACUGUCGGAAUGUGUCUUCAAUCAUCACAGAAAUGCCUGAGCACAUGGUUGUGGGUUACGCGAUGUUAAGACGUGACUGACUGUGUUUUUUAAGACGGGCAUGUGUGCCAUUAUUUAUUAUUGUUCUGGUAACAUUUACUAUUUUGGAGGGUUUGUUGUUCUGUCCCCCAAAAUAACAAUUUUUUGUGUUUUUUUUCUUUUUUCUUUUUUAAAGAAGUGGCCUAGACCUUCUUACUCUGAGUUUUAGAGAAAAGCAGCAUCUGGGAACAUAUGGUCCAGCUUCCUGAAAAAUAAACUUGCUUUUCUUAUUUUGUUAUGAUGCCUUCUUUAU